rnacentral:rRNA from 1 species
UACAGAGGGUGCAAGCGUUGUUCGGAAUUAUUGGGCGUAAAGGGCGCGUAGGCGGUGCGGUAAGUCCGCAGUGAAAUCUCUGGGCUCAACUCAGAGUCUGCUGUGGAAACUGCCGUGCUUGAGUCCGGAAGAGGAGAGUGGAAUUCCCGGUGUAGCGGUGAAAUGCGCAGAUAUCGGGAAGAACACCCGUGGCGAAGGCG